rnacentral:rRNA from 1 species
AUGGCCACCAUCACAAAUAGUGAACUAGAGCCCUAUGCAAGGCAACGAAACCUCAAGUGCGAUCGAAGAAGUAGCAAACUUCCUUUUAUUCUUUGCUUCAACAGAUACCAUCACUUAGCCCCACUUCAGUCACUAGAUGUUCUUCCAGGACAGUACAAUGGAUAUGGGUUAUUAACAUCAAAGCUCUCUGUUUCCAGGGCACCAUCUCUAAAGAGCCUUCGCUUCAUAUCUUCUAAGUACAUCACUAAUGAAGGGUUGUUGGAGGCACUUAAUAAGUUUCCUGUGCUUGAGGAGCUUGAGCUUUCACUUUGCAAACAUGUUUUCGGGAAGGUAUACGAGGGUAUUAGCAUAGCCUGUCCACGCCUCAAAUGUUUGAAGGUCAACUAUCCUUGCUUCUAUAACAUCGAAGAUAUCGAGUAUAACAAGGAUGAGGAAGCUCUGGGGAUUGCAACAAUGUUUGUGCUACCCUCCCUUCAACUGUUUGGCAGCGAACUCACCAACGUAGGAUUGGCAACAAUCCUUGAUAACUGCCCUCACCUUGAGUAUUUGGACAUUCGCCAUUGUUUCAAUAUCCACAUGGACAUCACCCUGCGUGCAAAGUGUGCUAGAGUAAAGACGAUGAGGCUUCCUCAUGACUCAACUGAUGACUAUGAGUUCCAGAUUGAAAACCUAGUUCGAACACGUGCAAGGAAACCUAGGUGA